rnacentral:rRNA from 1 species
GAUGAACGCUGGCGGCGUGCCUAAUACAUGCAAGUCGAGCGAACAGACGAGGAGCUUGCUCCUCUGACGUUAGCGGCGGACGGGUGAGUAACACGUGGAUAACCUACCUAUAAGACUGGGAUAACUUCGGGAAACCGGAGCUAAUACCGGAUAAUAUAUUGAACCGCAUGGUUCAAUAGUGAAAGACGGUUUUGCUGUCACUUAUAGAUGGAUCCGCGCCGCAUUAGCUAGUUGGUAAGGUAACGGCUUACCAAGGCAACGAUGCGUAGCCGACCUGAGAGGGUGAUCGGCCACACUGGAACUGAGACACGGUCCAGAAUCCUACGGGAGGCAGCAGUAGGGAAUCUUCCGCAAUGGGCGAAAGCCUGACGGAGCAACGCCGCGUGAGUGAUGAAGGUCUUCGGAUCGUAAAACUCUGUUAUUAGGGAAGAACAAAUGUGUAAGUAACUAUGCACGUCUGGACGGUACCUAAUCAGAAAGCCACGGCUAACUACGU